rnacentral:rRNA from 1 species
AUUGAACGCUGGCGGCAUGCCUUACACAUGCAAGUCGAACGGCAGCGGGGGAGAAGCUUGCUUUUCCUGCCGGCGAGUGGCGAACGGGUGAGUAAUACAUCGGAACGUGCCCUGUAGUGGGGGGUAACUAGUCGAAAGAUUACCUAAUACCGCAUACGACCCGAGGGUGAAAGUGGGGGACCGCAAGGCCUGAGGCUACAGGAGCGGCCGAUGUCUGAUUAGCUAGUUGGUGGGGUAAAGGCCUACCAAGGCGACGAUCAGUAGCUGGUCUGAGAGGACGAUCAGCCACACUGGGACUGAGACACGGCCCAGACUCCUACGGGAGGCAGCAGUGGGGAAUUUUGGACAAUGGGCGAAAGCCUGAUCCAGCAAUGCCGCGUGUGUGAAGAAGGCCUUCGGGUUGUAAAGCACUUUUGUCCGGAAAGAAAUGGCUCUGGUUAAUACCUGGGGUCGAUGACGGUACCGGAAGAAUAAGGACCGGCUAACUACGUGCCAGCCGCCGCCGUAA